UCAAACCAGGACUUGCAGUCCGAGGCAGGCAAGAAGUGAAAUCAGAAGACAGGAAGUGGCUGAGGGGAACGGCUUUUCUCUUUCCUGCUCAGCCCAAAGUGAACAGGUAGCAUCAGGUGUGCCAUUUGAGUGACUGGGCACAGCCCAGGCACCCACAUCUCUCUGCAGUGCCUAUUCUUGGAACACCAGAGACCUCUACACUAUUUUCUGUUGCUUUUUUCCUUCAUUUUCAGAGAUGAGAUCCUGGAUUGAAUGACUUGAAUUACUAUGGAAAGUGAUUGACCAAGAUUGUCUCCAUUCCCGGCUCCAUCACCGCCAGCCAGCGAGAGGGCAAGACAAGAGGGCUGACAAGAGGGAUGCUACCAUCACAGAGGUGGGCAUGGUGGUGUGCACCUGUAAUCCCAGCUACUUGGAGACAGGAGAAUCGCUUGAACCUGGGAGGUGGAAAUUGCAGUGAGCGGAGAUCAUGCCAUUGUACUCCAGCCUGGGCGACAGAGCAAGACUUCAUCUCAAAAAUAAGCAUUGACAACUGCGGGUCAAAACUGCCCCUGGUUGAGACUCACUGGCUGGAGCCAAAAGGCUGAGCUGCCUGCCCAACAGCAGCAGGGAAGGACAUCUGAUCCAGGCAGACUAGACCACCUGGGAUGAACAGACAAUCCUCAGAAGAACGAUCGAUUAGUAUCAGUUAGUAUCGAUUAGUGAUGUCUGCUUCAGGCACCAGAAGCGGGCAGCGUGGUCCACAUGCUCUACUUUUGCUGACUCUGUUCUGGAUCCACCGUUUGGCCUCCCAUCAGCCUAGGAUCAUGGAAAGGCCACUCUAGGCUCAGAGUAAAGCAAGAGGGAGGCCGAGCCUAGCACCCCUGUACCUUG